UCGUAACAAGGUUUCCGUAGGUGAACCUGCGGAAGGAUCAUUACCGA
rnacentral:rRNA from 1 species